rnacentral:rRNA from 1 species
UACGUAGGGUGCAAGCGUUGUCCGGAAUUAUUGGGCGUAAAGAGCUCGUAGGCGGUUUGUCGCGUCUGCUGUGAAAACCCGAGGCUCAACCUCGGGCCUGCAGUGGGUACGGGCAGACUAGAGUGCGGUAGGGGAGAUUGGAAUUCCUGGUGUAGCGGUGGAAUGCGCAGAUAUCAGGAGGAACACCAAUGGCGAAGGCAGUGUUCUGGGCCAGUACUGACGCUGAGGAGCGAAAGCGUGGGGAGCAAACAGG